GAUUUCUGAUAUAAUAUUACUGUCCCGCUGUGGUUACACAUGUGAGUGACGGAUAAUAUUUAUCUGUUUUGUGUUUUUUUGUAUUAUAAUGUGAAAGCAUUCUAAUAACAAUACACAUCUUUUACUUUGAACAAAUUAGAGUGUUUCAAGCAGGCAUUUAUGCCUUGAAUACAUGAGCAUGGAAUAAUCAUCGAGGACUUUUAGUUCUAUGUUGAUUGGUUCUAGAACUAUAGUAAUGAUGGAUAGGGAUAGUUGGGGGUGCUAGUAUUCCGAGGCCAGAGGUGAAAUUCUUGGAUUCUCGGAAGACUCACUUAGGCGAAAGCAUU
rnacentral:rRNA from 1 species